UACGUAGGGGGCAAGCGUUGUCCGGAAUUACUGGGCGUAAAGGGCUCGUAGGCGGUUUGUCGCGUCUGCUGUGAAAGUCCGGGGCUCAACUCCGGAUCUGCGGUGGGUACGGGCAGACUAGAGUGAUGUAGGGGAGACUGGAAUUCCUGGUGUAGCGGUGAAAUGCGCAGAUAUCAGGAGGAACACCGAUGGCGAAGGCAGGUCUCUGGGCAUUAACUGACGCUGAGGAGCGAAAGCAUGGGGAGCGAACAGG
rnacentral:rRNA from 1 species